CAACUGCUUGGUUGAGAGCCACUGCUCUAGAUGGGUUCCCUCCUCUCCUGGCCUCGUGGAUGGACUUUUCUUCUUUAAGGAUUUGCCCAAAGUAACUGUAACCAUCCAAACCGCUACGGCUUACCCAGGGAGAGAUGACCUACUUUCAAACAAAAGCCAUGUCAGGCCCUGGUGAUUGCAAGGGUCCCUCGGGGGACUCCUAGGGCUCCCUGGAGCAGCUUCUCUUGUCUCACAGUAGAACGGCUGUCAUGGAUCUGCCAGGAAGGACUCUCGGAGGUGGGGCUCAGGUCCGCAUGCUGCAGCCAGCGGCAGGAUGGGCGGCAAAUGCCAAGUGCACGUGUGUCAUUGUGCAGUCCUCACUGGAAACCUGCUCUGCCAAGUGCCACAGGCUUCUCUAAAAGCCACAAUGACCCAGAUGUGACUCCUACCUCGAGGCAUGAACACAAGCAGAUGGAGGCUGAUUUUCAAGAAGCCAGACUAUGAUCAUGCACUGCCAAGAAAUCAAGAGAAAUUCUAUGAUGGUGCAUAAAGAAGUCUUGUAUGAUGGUUGUCAAUGAUUCAACUGUUCCCAUCCAAAUUAUUUGGGUCUUUGAAAUAUGUUGACUUUAGCAAGGGCCUUCUUACAAUUAAAAGCUCAUUGAAAACAAGAGAAGGGGUAAUAUACAAACAUGAACGUAUGUGAAUAUACACACACAUACACAUGUGCAUGUACACACACCAUAUAGCCAUAUGGAAACUGAGUUUUGUUUUUUCCCCUUUGCUGUCCUUCAUUAUUUCAGAGGCUAUGGGAUUCCAUACCAAGUGAGGAAACGGUCUUCAAUGGGUAAGAAGUCUAUUGACUGGGCUUUUUAGAGCAGAGGUGAGAUCAUCCUCCAGGUAGUUACUUGGGCAACGAGUAUGCAUUUCCUUGCGAGCAAGUUUUUGUUUAUUUGGUCCAUUGAUAUGAUGUCUAAUGAUUACAUCAGCUUAAACGUGGAAAUAUCCACCCUCUUAUCUGUGCCUUCCACUGAGCCAGGGGCCAGUCCGGGGCUCCUUGGGAGAAGCCAGAAGCCCUUGCGGUGCAAAUAACAUUCAAACCAUCACUCUGAACAAAAACAACAAAAAUGUUAAGCCAACCAAUUCAAUUUGCUUAUUUUGUGCUCCAGGUCCUGGAGACAAUUGAACCUACAUCAGGGGACAGACAAGCUCAUGCCAAGAUGGCACAAACCACUGAAAUGGGUGCUUCCAGUUGCUCUUAGAAAACACAACUGAGUGAGGAAGACAUUUUAAACAAGACAGCAAAGCUUGAAGCCAUAAAAUGUUGCUCAAUUUGACUGAAUGGGAAAUUUAAAUUCCACGUCAAAAAACCGCCACGAAGUCAAACUAUAAAAGAAGACCUUGAAACAAAUAUUGGUAUAUGAUGGGAAACAAUUACCAUUUAUGGCAUACAGAGAGGAUUUCAAUGUCUGUAACAAAACACUGCACCAGAAAAAUAGACAAAUGA
rnacentral:lncRNA from 1 species